rnacentral:lncRNA from 1 species
UGUGAGGGUGGCUUUGUGAGGAUGGCUUUGUGUGGCUGCACAUUGCCCUUGGCCAAGCCCCGCUGCCAGGAGAGGCAGCUCGGCUGCCAAACCUCCUGAACCCAAGUUACCUGAGCAAGCAGCCCUAUCCCCUCGCCUGCUUCUCACUGCCUCGCCUGCCUUGGGCCUGCCCGACCCAGGGGGUCACAUGCCUUGUUCCCCAUCAGUGGAGACCAGGGACAAGAAGACAGUUCUGUGGGAAGAGCCAGGAGGACCAUUUGGGAAAAUACAGGUUCCAGGUGUGUCUCCAGACCUUGAGAGUUGGUGUCUCCUGGGAAGAGGCCCUGAUGAGAUCUGGGGAGAUUCGGAUCUGAUGAGAUUCAGGAAGCCCUGGCCUCUCCGUACUUGAGGAGACGGGACACACAGGACAAGCUGCAGGCUGGUGAGCAGAUUUUAUCUAAUCAGGAUUCCAGAGCACAAGACAAAUGGCCUCACGUCCGGCUGGG